CCCUGCUCCACUUGUCUUAAGGUCUCCUCUCAAGUCAGGAACACAUUUGAAAGAUCUGGAAAAGACCCUUGAGUGCUGCAGUCCAGCUGCAAAGCCUAUUUCAUGUAUGCACAAGAGUAGCUGAAAUCCUAUUUGUACCUGGAGAAAUGUAAAGGUAUACCUGUGGAAGUUCACAGGGAGUUAUGCCCUGACGGUCCAUAUGGCUGAUUGUACAGUACAACUAGUUGAUAGAACAAAUACCGUAAUGAUGCAUCUGCAGAACUGCUUCCUUGAUACAUCUUUUGCCUUGGUGCAAAAUUAUACACAACAGGAUUUUGGCCAGUGGGUUGUGACAGAGCUGAGAGGAACAGCCGGGAAAUUAAUGAGGUCAUCAGCUUCCAGAAUCCCAGGUGCCAAACAUGCUGAAUAAAUUGCUCUUAAUAGCUGAGCUAACAUCUAACAAUCAAUAGAGCAAUUUCACCACAUCCACCUAAUUUACAGAUGCAAGCUGUUACUAAACCAAGAUGGGAACCAAGAUUCAAAGGCUCACCGUGUCCCCAAAUAAUCCUGCUGUGCCAGACUAUGGACCAGGAGCCUUCAUUAGGUAUUAGUGAACCAAUUUAGAUUAAUUAGAAACAAAAGACACACAAAUUAGCCAUGGCUUAAGAGACAGAAAUUCAUAUAGAAAAGUGCAAAGGAAGAUUCUAACAUCCAGCGAAAAACAGUUUGAAGAAGUGGCUCCACAGCUGUCAUAACAGUGGAUUUAUCCAUGCCAUUAAGCAGCAACCUGUCCUAAUCUAUGCAACAAUCUUACACCAUGCACACCUGCAAAGGCUGAAAAAGGUUAAAAACCAAGGAAAAGUAGCUGUGACAUCAGUGGUAAUGCUACUGAUGACUCAAAGGUAUCUGCAAAUCAGGUUGUUUGAGGGAUUUUUAAACACCCACCAACAACUUUCUUCAUUCUCUCCCCUGAUCGCUUGCUCUCCAGCUGGCCAUGAGGAAGAGUUGAUCCUAGGGUAAUCCCAAAACAAUGGGAGGUGAGGGAAAAGAAGAUGCGAAAAGAGUUUGAGCUAAAGUAAAGGUGUGACUAAACAGACGGAAAAAUUCAAAUUGACCUGCAGUGAAGUCACACCUGGGAAGUCAGGUUUCCCCAGGUAAAUUUGCAUUAACUGGCCACACAGAGAGAAAUAGGGAAAACUCCCAAAGCCCUUUGUUUGCAGGCUGCUAAAGUAGCUCUCCUGCAGUUUCUUCAUUUGCAGA